CCCAGAGGUAUUGAUGGGUGUGAAAACAACACCGCUUCGGCAGUGAGAUCCCUGUUAUUACACCAACCCACGCAGAUGCGUGGGUUUUUUUU
rnacentral:sRNA from 2 species